rnacentral:lncRNA from 1 species
GAGUGUGCACAAAUCCUUCAUAAAUUUUAUUUAAGCCUGAGCAUUUUUUUUGGGUGAAUUGGUAACUGAAAGACUCUGGGACGUAUAUUUGUUUUAAGAAGGGUAGACUGCGCGCUUUCCUCUGUGCUGACCAGAGGACCAGAUCUCAGCUCUAAGAUUCUGGAUCCGGUCACAUCCGCCAUGACGGUGUACAUACAGCGGCGCUGACUCAGCAACCUCGCUUCUCCCUUUUGCGAGUAUAAAUAAUUUUAUAUCUUGUAUGUAUUCUACUUUUAAAGAAUUGAAAACUUGAAAUUAUUUUUAAUUUAAUUCUAACAUAGAACUUACCUAAGAUAGCUUUACUUCAUUCAUACACGUAGUAGGAAUGUUAAACAGAAACACACCUGUUCUUCUUUGCUCUCAUCAACGAUUUUGUGUUUAAGAUGCCGAAAUAUAAGGCGGCUCGUCGGAAGAGGGCUUUUGUGACAUCAGAGUCCUCUUCCAAAGUUCCUGAGGAAGUAAGACAAUGCUAUGUCAACCUCUUUUUUGAGAAGUAUUUGAGAGUUUAUAAAACAGAGGAUGAGGCUUUUAGCAAGGUGUGUCAGGAAGCAGUAAUGACAGCAAGACAACUGGAUUGAAAAAGAAUGAAAAGAAACAUGGUAAGCUUACUGGAAUCAUGAUAGACCUUUGUAAUUGUUACCUUAAAGGGGGAGUAAAUUUGGUAUAAUGCAAUUAUUAAACCAUUAUGUUUCUGAAGGCUCAGCUGCAUACCAUGCAUAUUUGUUAUCCUUUUAAAAAAU